CAGCUGCAAAAUCAAAGUGUUCAAGACACGUUUAAUAUUAACGAUAUGGAAAUAAUAUAUUCUGGCGAAACUAAUGUUAAUGCUAUAGAGGAAAACUACGAUUUGGAACAGAACGAUUUACAUCAAAAUUAUGUGAAGCCACUAAUGAAUUAAAUAGUAUGGCGUAUACAGAAGGUAAUUCAGUUUCUGAAGAGUUUGAUGUUCAAACUGAGGUUUUGACAGAUACACCUAAAG